UACGUAGGGGGCAAGCGUUAUCCGGAUUUACUGGGUGUAAAGGGAGCGUAGACGGUAUGGCAAGUCUGAAGUGAAAGCCCAGGGCUUAACCCUGGGACUGCUUUGGAAACUGUUAGACUAGAGUGCUGGAGAGGUAAGUGGAAUUUCUAGUGUAGCGGUGAAAUGCGUAGAUAUUAGGAGGAACACCAGUGGCGAAGGCGGCUUACUGGACAGUAACUGACGUUGAGGCUCGAAAGCGUGGGGAGCAAACAGG
rnacentral:rRNA from 1 species